rnacentral:rRNA from 1 species
CCUGGUUGAUCCUGCCAGUAGUCAUAUGCUUGUCUCAAAGAUUAAGCCAUGCAUGUGUAAGUACAGGCCGACUUAAGGCGAAACCGCGGACGGCUCAUUAAAUCAGAUAUAACUCAUUGGAUCUCUGCUGAACCGCAUUACUUGGAUAACUGUGGUAAUUCUAGAGCUAAUACAUGCCUUUGUAGUCUCCGACCGCGAGGGAGGAGCGCUUUUAUUAGACCAAAACCCUCGGCAGCCGGUUCCCGCAAGGGGCCGGCCGCACACAUCUUGGUGAAUCAGAAUAACUUUUGCCGAGCGCACGACCCCUCCCGUAACCCGGGUUGGGUCGGCGCCGCGUCCUGCAGGCGUCUGCCUUAUCAGCUCUCGAUUGUAGGUUAAACGCCUACAAUGGCUAUCACGGGUAACGGGGAAUCAGGGUUCGAUUCCGGAGAGGGAGCCUGAGAAACGGCUACCACAUCUAAGGAAGGCAGCAGGCGCGCAAAUUACCCACUCCCGGCACGGGGAGGUAGUGACGAAAAAUACUGUUGCGAGCCCCGAACGGGGCCUCGCAAUUGGAAUGAGUACACUUUAAAUCCUUGUACGAGGAUCGAGUGGAGGGCAAGUCUGGUGCCAGCCGCCGCGGUAAUUCCAGCUCCACUAGCGUAUAUUAAAGUUGUUGCGGUUGAAACGCUCGUAGUUUGACUUCUGCUCCGGACCGGCGGUCCGCCUUAGCGGCGGCUACUGCCGGGUUCCGAGCUGUGUCCCCGCCGGCGCACAUGGGGUUUUUAUGCCCUUAACCGGGUGUCCCCUUGUGGCCGGCACGUUUACUUUGAAAAAAUUAGAGUGCUCAGAGCAGGCUGGUUUUUGCUUACAGCCCGAAUGGUCGUGCAUGGAAUGAUGGAACAGGACCUCGGUUCUAUUUUGUCGGUUUUUCGGAACCCGAGGUAAUGAUUAAUAGAAGCAGACGGGGGCAUUCGUACUGCGACGCUAGAGGUGAAAUUCUUAGACCGUCGCAUGACGACCUACUGCGAAAGCAUCUGCCAAGGAUGUUUUCAUUGAUCAAGAACGAAAGUUAGAGGUUCGAAGGCGAUCAGAUACCGCCCUAGUUCUAACCUUAAACGAUGCUGACUAGCGAUCCGCCGCAGUUAUUCCCAUGACCCGGCGGGUAGCUUCCGGGAAACCAAAGUCUUUGAGUUCCGGGGGAAGUAUGGUUGCAAAGCUGAAACUUAAAGGAAUUGACGGAAGGGCACCACCAGGAGUGGAGCCUGCGGCUCAAUUUGACUCAACACGGGGAAACUCACCAGGCCAGGACACCGGAAGGAUUGACAGAAUGAAGGCUCUUUCUCGAUUCGGUGGGUGGUGGUGCAUGGCCGUUCUUAGUUGGUGGAGUGAUCUGUCUGGUUAAUUCCGAUAACGAACGAGACUCUAGCCUGCUAAAUAGUCGACGGAUCUCAACCCCGUUGCCCCCGUUGUCGUUCGCGGCGAUGCGGGGCGCGGGUUCCCCGAAACCCGGUCGUCGUGCGGGCCUCCACCGUCGGUCGGUUAGCGCCGCCGGCGGCGCGCCCCGCGGCGCCGGAAACUGGCGUCCGCUUCGCAGUCUUCUUCUUAGAGGGAUAAGCGGCAGCAAAAAAUAUACUAGCCGCACGAGAGUUUGAGCCAUAACAGGUCUGUGAUGCCCUUAGAUGUUCUGGGCCGCACGCGCGCUACAAUGGAGAGUUCAGCGAGCUGUCCCUGCUCCGAGAGGAGCGGGUAACCUCGUGAAAGCUGUCCUUAAAGGGGAUUGGGGCUUGCAAAUGUUCCCCAUGAACGAGGAAUUCCCAGUAGGCGCAAUUCACCAGAUUGCGCCGAUUUAGUCCCUGCCCUUUGUACACACCGCCCGUCGCUACUACCGAUUGAAUGGUCUAGUGAGGGCACCGGACUGGCGCCCUUGGAGCCGCUACCGCCUCGGCGGGCAGCGCCCUCGGGUCGACGGAAAGGUGUCCAAGCUGGGUCAUUUAGAGGAAGUAAAAGUCGUAACAAGGUUUCCGUAGGUGAACCUGCGGAAG